GCCUGGUAGUGGGGGACAACGUUUCGAAAGGAACGCUAAUACCGCAUACGUCCUACGGGAGAAAGCAGGGGACCUUCGGGCCUUGCGCUAUCAGAUGAGCCUAGGUCGGAUUAGCUAGUUGGUGAGGUAAUGGCUCACCAAGGCGACGAUCCGUAACUGGUCUGAGAGGAUGAUCAGUCACACUGGAACUGAGACACGGUCCACACUACUACGGGAGGCAGCAGUGGGGAAUAUUGGACAAUGGGCGAAAGCCUGAUCCAGCCAUGCCGCGUGUGUGAAGAAGGUCUUCGGAUUGUAAAGCACUUUAAGUUGGGAGGAAGGGUUGUAGAUUAAUACUCUGCAAUUUUGACGUUACCGACAGAAUAAGCACCGGCUAACUCUGUGCCAGCAGCCGCGGUAAUACAGAGGGUGCAAGCGUUAAUCGGAAUUACUGGGCGUAAAGCGCGCGUAGGUGGUUUGUUAAGUUGGAUGUGAAAUCCCCGGGCUCAACCUGGGAACUGCAUCCAAAACUGGCAAGCUAGAGUAUGGUAGAGGGUGGUGGAAUUUCCUGUGUAGCGGUGAAAUGCGUAGAUAUAGGAAGGAACACCAGUGGCGAAGGCGACCACCUGGACUGAUACUGACACUGAGGUGCGAAAGCGUGAGGAGCAGACAGGAUUAGAUACCCUGGUAGUCCACGCCGUAAACGAUGUCAACUAGCCGUUGGGAGCCUUGAGCUCUUAGUGGCGCAGCUAACGCAUUAAGUUGACCGCCUGGGGAGUACGGCCGCAAGGUUAAAACUCAAAUGAAUUGACGGGGGCCCGCACAAGCGGUGGAGCAUGUGGUUUAAUUCGAAGCAACGCGAAGAACCUUACCAGGCCUUGACAUCCAAUGAACUUUCCAGAGAUGGAUUGGUGCCUUCGGGAACAUUGAGACAGGUGCUGCAUGGCUGUCGUCAGCUCCUGUCCUGAGAUGUUGGGUUAAGUCCCGUAACGACCGCAA
rnacentral:rRNA from 1 species